CUCCAGUAAGUAUACCCGUGUACAUUUACCUUCCAAGUAAAAAGUCUGAAUUCGCAGGCUGGAGA
rnacentral:tRNA from 1 species